rnacentral:rRNA from 1 species
GACGAACGCUGGCGGCGUGCCUAAUACAUGCAAGUAGAACGCUGAAGAGAGGAGCUUGCUCUUCUUGGAUGAGUUGCGAACGGGUGAGUAACGCGUAGGUAACCUGCCUUGUAGCGGGGGAUAACUAUUGGAAACGAUAGCUAAUACCGCAUAACAAUGGAUGGCACAUGUCAUUUAUUUGCAAGGGGUCAUUGCUCCACUACAAGAUGGACCUGCGUUGUAUUAGCUAGUAGGUGAGGUAAUGGCUCACCUAGGCGACGAUACAUAGCCGACCUGAGAGGGUGAUCAGCCACACUGGGACUGAGACACGGCCCAAACUCCUACGGGAGGCAGCAGUAGGGAAUCUUCGGCAAUGGGGGCAACCCUGACCGAGCAACGCCGCGUGAGUGAAGAAGGUUGUCGGAUCGUAAAGCUCUGUUGUAAGUCAAGAACGGGUGUGAGAGUGGAAAGUUCACACUGUGACGGUAGCUUACCAGAAAGGGACGGCUAACUACGUG